rnacentral:rRNA from 1 species
GACGAACGCUGGCGGCGUGCUUAACACAUGCAAGUCGAACGAUGAACCGAGAGCUUGCUCUUGGGGAUUAGUGGCGAACGGGUGAGUAACACGUGAGUAACCUGCCCUGGACUCUGGGAUAACCCCGAGAAAUCGGAGCUAAUACCGGAUAGGACCCUGUACCGCACGGUGUGGGGUGGAAAGUUUUUUCGGUUUGGGAUGGACUCGCGGCCUAUCAGCUUGUUGGUGCGGUAAUGGCUCACCAAGGCGUCGACGGGUAGCCGGCCUGCGAGGGUGACCGGCCACACUGGGACUGAGACACGGCCCAGACUCCUACGGGAGGCAGCAGUGGGGAAUAUUGCACAAUGGGCGCAAGCCUGAUGCAGCAACGCCGCGUGCGGGAUGACGGCCUUCGGGUUGUAAACCGCUUUUAGUAAGGAAGAAGGGGCUUCGGCCUUGACGGUACUUGCAGAAAAAGGACCGGCUAACUACGUGCCAGCCGCCGCAGUAAUAC